rnacentral:rRNA from 1 species
UACGGGGGGAGCAAGCGUUGUUCGGAUUUACUGGGCGUAAAGGGCGCGUAGGCGGUCGUGACAAGUCACUUGUGAAAUCUCCGGGCUUAACUCGGAACGGUCAAGUGAUACUGUCGGACUAGAGUACAGAAGGGGCAACUGGAAUUCUCGGUGUAGCGGUGAAAUGCGUAGAUAUCGAGAGGAACACCUGCGGCGAAGGCGGGUUGCUGGGCUGAUACUGACGCUGAGGCGCGAAAGCCAGGGGAGCGUACGGG